rnacentral:rRNA from 1 species
GGGUCAGUAGGUCGGUCGUGCCACCGGUACGUACUGGUCUCACUGAUUCCUCCUUCCUGAAGAACCGUAAUGCCAUUAAAUUGGUGUUGCGGGGAAACAGGACUGUUACUUUGAAAAAAUUAGAGUGUUUAAAGCAAGCUAACGCUUGAAUACAUUAGCAUGGAAUAAUGAAAUAGGACGAUCGAUCCUAUUUUGUUGGUUUCUAGGAUUGACGUA